rnacentral:rRNA from 1 species
UGGGGAAUAUUGCACAAUGGGCGCAAGCCUGAUGCAGCCAUGCCGCGUGUGUGAAGAAGGCCUUCGGGUUGUAAAGCACUUUCAGCGGGGAGGAAGGCGAUAAGGUUAAUAACCUUGUCGAUUGACGUUACCCGCAGAAGAAGCACCGGCUAACUCCGUGCCAGCAGCCGCGGUAAUACGGAGGGUGCAAGCGUUAAUCGGAAUUACUGGGCGUAAAGCGCACGCAGGCGGUCUGUCAAGUCGGAUGUGAAAUCCCCGGGCUUAACCUGGGAACUGCAUUCGAAACUGGCAGGCUAGAGUCUUGUAGAGGGGGGUAGAACUCCAGGUGUAGCGGUGAAAUGCGUAGAGAUCUGGAGGAAUACCGGUGGCGAAGGCGGCCCCCUGGACAAAGACUGACGCUCAGGUGCGAAAGCGUGGGGAGCAAACAGG